CGUGGGCGAAGAUAAGCCAAUCGCCUGCCACUUGGUCCGCGGUCGCCGGUCUUGCGGCGGUGCCACUCUCGUGCGUGUGUUCGUGUGGCUGUGGUAAGCCGGUAUUGCACCUGUUAUUCGGCGACAGCAGUAACGCGCAACUCUGCAGAGUCAAGGUGUAGUGGCGGCAGGUGGGGGGUGGUGCAAUGGAGCUGGCCUUUUGUGCGGCUGCCAUCUUCGUGGUGUCGGCGGUGGUGGUGUACUUUGUCUCUGUGGUGGGCACCCGCCAGAAGACCUACGAGGAGGCCCUGGCCGAAGCACGCCGGCGAUCCCUGGAAGAGGAUGCCGCCCUCCAGCAGGCCCGGCAGCACCACAAGCGAGAUGGUGCCAACAAGAAGGUCAAGGGUCGCUGGGGCCGCACGAAGGUAAAGGAGAGCCCGGCAGAACCCGAACUCAUUACCUCUACAGCGACCAACGAGACUGUCUUGGCCUGUCCACCUUCGCCAACGCAGGGGAUGAUCCAACAUGUGUCCGAACACGUCGAGUUCAAGGAGGAGGCUGAGGUGGUGCUGAUUCCCAAGGAGGAUGAUGAGCUGACUUGCGAUGCUGUCCCACGCUCAUCACCCAUCAUUCCCCCGGUGCGCAACAGGCGCCCCCAGAAGCCGAUCCUGGUGCACAAGCCACCACCGGAACCGGAGGAGCUGGCCGCCCAACCUGUCGCACCGGUGGUGCCCGAGCCAUCGCCCAAGCCUGUGCGUCGCAACUCCUUCAAGGACAUCGUUCCCAAGGAUGAAAUUGAGCUGAAACACCUGCAGGAGCAGCUUCAGCAGCAGCAGCAGCAACAACAACAACAACAACAAAAGGAGGUGGCUGAAACGUCAUCCUGGUCCGCAGCAGCACCACCCUCACCACCCAACCCUACAGCUGCGGCUGCCAAGGGCUCCCCGCUCCGCGAGAAGCCUCCGCGCAGCCGCAAGUCUAAGGGCCAGGAUGCAGUUUCUGCAGCGACCACUGAUGGCACGGCUGCAGCAGUGGCUGCUGGUGCACGGGAGGUGUGUGCCCGGGAGCUGCUGUCCCUGGUGCGUGGCAGCAGCCGCUUCACGGCUGAGCAGGAGGAGCUCGAGCAGCUCGUCGAGGAGCUGCUCAACCGGGCGGGACAGUCGGCAGCAGCGGGCGAGUGGCGCAAGCGAGGCCCCGACCCCGAGGCACACCUGCGCCGUCUGCUGGCCGAGCGGGAGCGAGACCUCGAUGCCGAGCGCCAGCAUGCGCUCUCGCAUGCGACCAAGGUGAAGGAGCUGAGACAGGAGCUGAACCAGCAGCUGACUAAGGUGCAGCAGCAGGAGAGGAGCCUGAAGGCCCAGCAGAAGGCAACGGAAGAACAGACUGUGCAGUUGCAGAGGCUGCGUGACGAGUCUAGGCAGCUGCAGCAGAGAGUGCACCAGCUGGAGGCAGAGCUGCAGCAGUCGUCGGCAUCGGUGUGCGAGCGGGUACGGUCGAGAGAGGAAGAGCUGGAGCAGGCACACCGUGAGGCCCUGGAGCGGGAGCGUCAGGAGGCGGAGACGCGGCUGGCGCAGGCACAGCAGCAGGCGGAGGCUCUGGAGGCCACCUGUGCCCAGCUCCGGCAACGGCUCGACCAAGAGGCACAGAACCUGGCCGCCCAGAGGAAUGCCUCUGAGGGCAAGGUGAAGGAGCUGAGCAAGGUUCACCAGCUGGAGCUGGAGGCGGAGCGAGCGGAGCACCAGCGGCGCUUGGGCGCCCUGGAGCAGCGGUGCCAGGAGCAGGCCCACCUGGCCGAGGAGCUGCGGGCACGCCUUGCCGAGGCCGUGCAGACACACAGCCGAGAGGUGAGCGAGCUGUCUCGCAAGAAGGCAGAGGCUGAGGCCGCGGCUGAGGGUGCCGAGCAGCGGCUGGCCCAGGCGCACGAGGCCGCUGUUGAGGAGCUCCGGCGAGAGCUGGACGACCAGCGGGCCAAGAACAACGACCUACGCACCAAGAACUGGGAGGCUGUGGAGGCCAUGCGGGCAGCUGAACGUAAGGCCGAGGCACAAGCGGCCAGUUUGACCAAGGAGCUCGAGGUGCUCAAGGCCAGCCACACCAAGGACGUCGAGAGCCUGCGGCAACGGUUAUUAGACGAGCACCAGAAAAAGGAACGGGAGCUGCUGGAGCGCCUCCUGCCUGCCAUCAAGGUUGACGCUAGACUAAGCCAUGCCGAGUGGUUGGUGCACUUUGAGAGGGAAGUGCACCAGUGGCAGAAGCAGCAGCAACAUAAACAGCAGCAGCAACAACGGGGCACGGGCGACCACCCGCCACUGUCUGCCUCUACACAGUCUCAAACCACUGGAGCCGUGGAAGACACGGAGCGCCUACAACAGCUUGCGCAGGCCAAUGCCAAGCUUGACAAGGAGGUGUCCCACUACAAGCAGGUGCUGUCCCAGACCGAGGACAUCCUGCAGAACCUUCAGCGAUCGGUCGAGGAGGAGGAGAAGCGGUGGCAUGAGAAGGAGGAAGGGCACCACAAGGAGCGACUGCUCUGGCAACAGCAGCUCACUCAGGCCCAGGCUGAGGCAUCACAGCAGAAGAGCACUGGUCCGACGGAGAGGGAGCGACAGCUGGAGGAACGCUGCGCAGCCCUUGAAGCAGACCUGCGGCAACUGCAUGGACUCCAGGAGACGACGUCCGAGGUAUGUGGCGUGCAGUUUGCCUUCUCCUGCAUAGAGCGGACAUUGCCCAGCAUAGUGAACGAGGUAGUACGCCCGCUGUCAAGGAUGCAGGCCAAACUGAAGGAACUGCAAGCCAAGCUUCAGGAUGAGGAAGGUGAAAAGAAGCUGCUGGAGCAGAAGUACGACGAGGCCAAUCUCUACGGAGAGUUUCUUGAAAAGGUGAGCCGGAAUGCCCAGGAUGUGAGGACCCACCUUGAGAGCAGGGUGCGUGAGCUCGAGGAGAUAAAGCUGACGCGGGAUGAUUACGACCUCUUGAAGCAGGAGCUGGCCGAAGUGAAGGCCCAGCUUGCGGAGGCCCGCCGCGCCGCGGCCAAGGCAUCCGAGGAAGCGGCGGCCAAUCACAGCCCGUUGGCACAAUCACCUGUGACCACACCCACCAAGGUGACGCCCGACGCGGUAUCCCCAGCUACCAACGGCCCCUCGGCUGCACCUUCUCCUACACCCGCCGAAAAAGAGAAGGACGACAAGCUGGAGUGCUCCGAGCUGGGUAGCGACACCAUUGCGCGCCCAUCGGGUGACGCACCCUGCUCUAAAAAUACUAACAGCAACCGAACUAAGAAGCGGGUGCGGUUACGGCUGAAAUUUUGGAAGAAGAGCAAAAAAUGAAGCACCGAUGGAUGCCAGCUGUCUGUGCGCCCCCUGUCGGCUGAUGUUAGUAAGGGCUCGUCGAACAAGAAGUAGAGGCGCCCUCCGGCCAGAGCCAAGUACCGCCCCAGCAGGGCACCCCAGUAUCCACCGUGGAUGGCAGCUGCUGCUGACUUACUCCGCCUCUCCUCGUCCCAGCAUGCCCUGGCAGACGUGAGAUUUCGACGUGCACCAGCUGCUGCUGCUUCUUCUUCGCCCUUAACUCCCGCUUUGUGCAAUGAAGUGUGCGUGCGUGCGACACAGGCCUGGGACCACUUGACGCGGGAUAAACCACCCGAGAACUCUUCCGCUGCGCACUCGUGCGCACGCAUCUUGUCUGGAUUAGCUUCCUUUUGUUUCUUCUUUGUCGAGCGUCUCACUUCUGAAAUGUUUUGUUAGUUGUUGUUGUUAAAGUGCCGCAGUCGCCGCCGCCCGCAGGUUCUUGUGCCCUUAUACCCAAAUUUUCCUCUGGAGUUUUUUUGACCCCACCUGUGUUCCUUCGUGCUUUUCUGUCUUGCAAUUUUUUUUUUCUGCCUUGUUGACUUGUUUAUAAUGUAACCCCCAUGCUUUUGCAUAAAGUUCUACACAGUGUGCUUUUCCGAGGUGCUUCUUAUUUUAUUUCUUUUUUGGUUACUUCCACGUGCAAGGAUGAGGUGGCCAUGCCCUUGGCUAUUGAACGGUUGAUUCUCGCAGCGAAGCGAUGCUCUGUAGCUGCACCACUCAUCUACUCGCGCAGCCAAGUGUUGGAAGAAUGCAUGCAUAGUUACAGCAGACCUCUGUAGGCCCCCUUUCAUUAAACAGUAAGCUAACUUUCCUGCAAUGAUGCCUCAAGUCCAAAACACUGCAAAAAAAAAAAAAUGUGUCUUUUCCGACUUCCAAGAACUGGUGGGUAUGUUGAGCUGCCUGCACGGCUUCUUGCGUGCCAUUGGUCUGCGAAGAACACAGAAUUGCUUGGGAUGUUUAACACCACAGUUGUUUUAGUGGUGAGCAUUGAUGCCGUACUCUGAACAUUGUGCUAUGCUUGAAAGCGCAACUCUGUAUUACACCUGUUCUGCGAGGACAUAUUAUUGGUUCUGAUGAGUCAACUGUUGCAGACGGGCACUGCUGUUUUAUUCAUUAAAGAGGCGCACAUUCGUCUUCUGGCGAGUGCUGCCAUCUGCUAAAAAAUCUUCUCAAUUUUGCUUUUUAAGGUUUAAAAUGAUUUUGUGUCUGUUUCCUAAAGGCAUGUUUCAAAAGCCCUUUAAGUGUGCUGAACAAUGACAAAGUUGAAAACUGUAUUGGUUAGAAAUAAUGUGGUAAUAUUAUAUAAUCUGUUACAUCGACAUACACAAAGGGCAACUGGAGCACAAGAAAUAUGAACUAGUGUAGUGAAAUAAGCAAGCCGUGCAACCUACUGGGAUGUUUGCCAUAUAAGUUUCAAGUAUGUGAUCACCACAAAUAUAAAAAAAAAGCUCCCAUUUUUGACAAAUUUCAAAUACUGCACCAUUUGUAUCCAUGCACCACCUGUUGUUAAUUAAGGAAAGAAAACACUAAGUUUCAUAACAAUGAUUUGUUCAUUGAUAUGAAUGUAGUAUGAAUGUUUGCAUAACAAGACAAUUUAAUAAGUUUUGGCAAAACAUAUACUUGUGGCAUGUAAGAAAAUUCCGGAGCUGAGGUCCAGUCAAAGUGCGUUCAGGUAAAUCCAGUCCUUUUUAACGCCACCAAGCCUGGCAUAUUAUUUGUGAUGCGCCAAGUUUGAUAACUCUGAGCAGUGGAAAGUUAAUGCAAAGCACAUAGUGGUGUUUCUGAUGACCUGCAAGCAGUUUUCAGUAGGUUGUUGGUAGUUCAGCACACCAAUUGCUAAUUGUACUAAAUACAAUUUUUACUCAAUUAUUAUUUGAGUUUGUUUAUUGUGCAAAUGUGCCCUCUUUGGCCAUGAAUAUAAGUUGUCUUGGAUUCUCUCUUUUUUUUUUUCAUGUGGAAUGGUGUUGGAGCUUUCUGGGUUUAAGCAAUAAUUUUAUUAGAGACAGGAAGACCGUGGUAUAGAUUGGAGAGCUAAUGGGUGUGGCUGAUACCAUUUUAGAUUAAAAGAAAAGUGUAGGUAGGCAUGCCAUGCAGUGCAAAGAUUACAUAACUGGCCGCCUAUUAGGCAAACUGAAUGCAUGCCAAGAGAAGUGCGGGUGGUAUGAUAUUAGGACGUAUGCAACUACACAUGAUGCAGUCGGCUAGCGCAACAAAACGGGCUGUUUAUGAUUACGAUUUUCAUUAGCGUUCCCGAAUUUGAGGUGUUCUCUUGGCGUUUUCAAUUUGGCACGCAGUUCCCAAAAGAAUCUUUCGCCAGACAAUGUCUUCAGUUUGGGUCAAAUGAUGUGCAAUGCACACUACGCACUACUUUUUGGUGGAGCAACAGCAGCAUCUUAAAGAAAUCUGCAUGCACUGUUGCGACUAUGCUGUGUGUUUCAGUAUUGAAGUGUUUAACACAACGCAAAAGAACACCACCACCUGUUGCAGCAGCUGAUGUCAGAAUCGAUGUGUUAAGCACUACUGGGUGGGAUAGUUGAACCCAAAUUUCCUAGCCACCACCUCAAUGAACUUUAGGGGGCAUGUUGUAGUUGCACUGUUGAAGUCAGCCAGAACGCAAAGUGUACUCCCUUCUUUUACAGACAUGUGAAUAGCACCAGUACAUUUUUACCACAUAGCACAUUUUUGCUAUAGGGGAAUGUUAUGGCUGGAACACCAAUGUCAACGUCAUCAUCAGCCUAUAAUUUUGCCCACUGCAGGACGAACGCUUCUCCCUACGAUCUCCAAUUACCCCUGUCUUGCGCUAGCCAAUUCCAACUUGUGCCUGUGAAUUUCCUAACUUCUUCACUCCACCAGUUGAGGAACACCAAUGUAUUUGGCUGCAUAGCUUGAUUACAUAUUUCUCAAAACUCAUGCAAGGGAAUAGAUUUUUCACAAGCUGGUAUGCUUUACAUCCUGGCUCGCUUGAAUUUUACAAUUGCAACAUGCCCCCUAAAGUUGCAAAUUGGAAAGUUGAGCAACCUACUUAUUUCAUUCUGAGAGGUGGCCACCUCGUAGAUUUUGGCUUUCACUUCAGCAAAUGGUGUGUCGCUGGCAGUUAGUGAAGUACUAGUGUUCACACAUUUGCUUACCUUUUGCUGAUACGUACAAGUGUUAGCUGUCGACCAACGUGACUGCAUUUUAAUGGGGUCAAAAUUCAAAAACUCUUUUGUACUGACAUAUUGGUGCAUGUUAAAGGUUGUCAAAAUGAAGCCCAGUGCCCUCUACUGCGUCAUUGCAGCUAAACAUGUUUUCAUGUUGUAGUGUUCCUUUGCAGCAGCUCUGCAUUUAACCAAUGGGCAAUGCACAGUACCUGUUUCAUGGCCUUAAUAGUGUUUAAUUGUACGUUAGCCUUCUGAGUUUGCUUAAAUGACAUACACUGGUAUAUGAACUGCUGAUCUGGAUAAGGCAUAGCUGUGAAGGUAACUUAUCUGAAUGUGGUACUGUUCUGGUUUCGGUCCACAACAUUUUUCCCAAGCCAACUUGCAAGCUUGUGAGCCAAUCCUGCGUUGUAGGCAGGCUUCUCCCAAAGUGGCUAGUCGUUGCUGCAGUAGUAGUUUUUAAGGCACAAAAGUUACUGGGUCAGUGUUUCCAGAGGUACAGGUUCUGUCUCAACAACUAUGUUAGCGCCAAGAAGCACACUCUGUGCCCUUUUGCUUCUUAGGUUUGUCAGCCAUUUUUGUCUUGGUCGUUAGACGAUGAUGAAGGCCUGGCUAAGAAUGACUCAAUGAAGUUUUCUUGCUAGCAGGACUAGUUUUCACUCUUGACACUAGAUGGGGAGAAUUGCCUUCUGCUCAUCCCAUUCUCCAGGGCUUUCUUUUAUGUCUUUCUUAGCCACGGGAUGGGUGCAGCGUGCUGCUCCUGCAGCUGUGUGAUUUGCCAUUUCCAGGCACGCACCUUUUCUUAAUGCCCUAUCGUAUGGUUUUGAAGGCAACAGGCUGUGGGGAAAAAGCUGUCAGGUGUCUGCAACAAUGUCUUCAGUCUAUUGCUAAAUUGGAUUUACAUGCGAGAGAAACAUACAAAAAGAGCAUGCAAAUAAGCGACUUAUUGUACUGAAGGUGCUUGUUUUAACUGACUUUCUGCAUAUUUUUUGCACUUUACAUCCAGUUAGCAGUGCUUGACAAGCUAGCCCAGCAAGAAGUUCUUCUAUCUCAUCUUGCUUUCAAGCAAAACGUGUAACGUGAAGGCUGCACCAUAUUUAAAACUUGGUUGAUGCAAAGCUCAAGUGUAGCUGCCCCGAGCUCUGGAGAUUACAGGCGGACUUCAAAUUUAGGCAGUGGUGUGUGGGAAAGCACAUAAUCGCGAAUCACUGUCUGAAAUGAAAUUGGUUGCCCCAGCUGUUGCUGUGGUUAAAAUUUCAAUGCUAUGUCUGUGAAAUUGCUCAGGCUGGAAUACAUCCUGUAAGGUCUUGCAUAAAUUGAGGACUUCUGUUAAGUACAUAUUGUGUGAAAGUAUACAGGACUAGUGGAAAAUUCUGUUGACCCAAUUUAUUUGGUGUUCUUUAAAGCUGAACUGCAGUUUUCUGCAUGAGCUGUGAAGCCAGUACUGAUUUAGCUGAUCAUUGUUUACCGCUAAAAAAAAAUGUCAGCAUUAUGAAAUAGUAACUAGCUCACUUGAGGUAUCACAGGUCCCGUAUUUUGUGCGAGUUUAUGUCCCCUUUGCUGAAACAACUCCACUGGGUGGCUGCGGAUUGAAGGCUGCAUUUGACAGCGAGUGAAGGUGUGUAUGUGUGCAUGCGUGAACGUGUGUGAAAGGCAAUUUCAGACUGGUACUGGCAGAGAUGCUACUCAUUCACGCUGUUGGACAAGCGGGCACGGAGAUAUAUGCUAAUAAACAGAGUACGCAACUA